AGAGUCGGGUCAGGUGGAUGGGCGAGAGGACCGGUGUGGCCAGGCUGCGGAAGCCAGCACAGGAGACAAGGGCGGGGGCUGUACAUUACAGAGACUGCUGGGGGCUUGUCCAAAGAGCAGCAGGGGGCACGGAAGGGCUUGGGGACACAGACACGAUCAGACUUGCAUUUCAUCAGGCAUUCUUUAGCUGCCUGCAGGGUGGCUGGGCUGUGUGAGAUGACCCUUCUUUGACCAGGUUAGGAAUUAUGACUGGUUUCCAGAGAGAACAUUGGUUAGCAGUUGGCUAUGGGGGAAGAGGGGGCAUUGAGACAACUGGGGUCCCCCUGAAGUGCCAGCAAAGUCUCUGGUUUUCUCCAGGAUCUGUUUCCUCAGUCCCUGGCAGGAUUGGCUCCCCUGCAGGCCAUGUCUUUGUGAUCCCUUCCAGACAGAAACCAGGAGUGAAUAAAGUGAAUAAUGACAAGC
rnacentral:lncRNA from 1 species